GGAAACUUGAAAACUACCGUUAGAUCGAGAAAUGGACGUCCGAGAUUCGUCCACGUCACCAUGAGUUAAAAUUUAACUCGCAGAUUCACUCCUGAGUUAAACUUUUACUGGGAGUUAAAUUUUAACUCAUGGUGACGUGGGCGAAUCUCGAACGUUCGUUUCUGGAUCCAACGGUAGUUUCCAAGUUUCC
rnacentral:pre_miRNA from 10 species